UCUACGUGACUUAAUCUGCAUACUACAUCACAGAUAGUACUCCCUGUCAAAAACCUCAAUCAUUAGCCAGAUUUAACCCGAACAACAAAGUCGAUUUUUUAUAGCUCCCUGGGAAGUCAGCAGAGGCCUACCGGGCGCGUUAUUUCCAUAAAAAUGUCACCUUUAAAUCAUUUUCAGCGGUCACACAGAGUUCCCCGGUAGGAGGAUCGGAAAGAAAUGGAGAGUUCUGAAAACGAUGAUGUCUUAAUUUCGUAACAGGUUCAAAUUCUUACACCCAGGACGGGUCGACAAGACCCCGAGGCAGCCACCGUCCUCUGAUGAUGUCACCCGGUCUCCCUUUAGCAGACGCUGUACUUGAUAACCUGGGCCAUCAUGCGUUUUAAUCUUGGAUAUCUAACUAUCAAAGCGGAUUCAAUACUUGAUGCACUCGCGGGUCAUCACAACAACCGGUCUUCACAUGAGAAGAAAUUAAGGCCUUUCUGAGUGUUCCAUUAACCUCAGGCAUGACCAAGCUGAAUGAGAAAUCAAGGUCAACAUUCAGGAAAAAAUUGGAUAGUCUACAAUCAUUGAGAUUUUGAAGAACAAGGACAAGUGGAUAGUUGUUACUACUAAAUCUACGGAUUUAACCGCAAUGUAAAUGCCAAACAUCAGCAACUUCACGACACCCUGUAUCUAUGGUUUUCCGACAUGACUGUUCACCAUGCUGCCAUCAACAAUGAGUUAUUACUCACUAAUGCACAGCCAUAGGUUUCAGGUAUUCCAGAGGGUAUCUCAUUCGCUUCAACACCAAACACAGGAUCAAAAGAAAGGUUUACGAGGCAGGAAGAGAUGCUAACAUAGCAGAUAUCAUCAUAGUGGAGACAGGACGCAAUGAACUUCAGCGUGUGCUAAAAGUCUACGCAGUUGAGUUGAGACUAUCCGAGAAAAAUCACAGUGCUGUUAUAAAUGUACCUCUGUGUACUUCGCACCACAUGACGUCACAAUGAAAAAGUACGUCACAGCGUACAUGUUCUCAUAGAUGUAUCGCGGGGAAAGUGUCAUAAUAUUUUGUCGUUAUUUACUACUGUUAUCAAGUGAUACGCUGUAUACGUGAAAACAUUUCUUGUCAAAUGAUUAUAUAUAUUAUUUCUUUAUGAUAUCAAAUCAUGCUCCAUUUUUAAUAUAUAGUAUGCACGAAUGUGAUAUUCAUAUUAUAUUGUGACCUUGGAAUCGCACCUAAUCUGAAUGACUGAUGCAAUUAAAAAAUCCCUCAUGUACAUAAGUGAUAUCAUACUACAGAAACAGUGGCAAAGUUCAGGUUCAUCUGCUAUAUAAAAAAAAAAGAAUCUGAAUUUUUCUGAAAUAUAAUCUAGAUAUAUUUAUGCAUUUGAAAAAUGCGGGGAUCAAUUUCUGUCUUGUAUAUUAACAGUAUGAUAUACAUAGGAAUGUGGACAACCCCGGUAAUUCGCUGAUGACUGUUAAUAGCUUAUAGCAUGUUUAGUUUGAGUAUACAUUUGUUCCCAACACUUUUCAUGUUAAGGAUUUUUUAUUUAUUUCUGAUUAUAUUACUAAAAAUUCUGAUGGUUACCUGCAUGAGCCUGAACUUUUCUUCACAAGUAGGGUCUCUUACUAUUUUUCAAAAAUAAAGUGUUACGUGAUAUUCAACUGACGUCACGGGAAAUUACCAUGAGGGGAAUUUACAGAAGCUCAGUCACAGUCAACAUAUGGGAAGUAUUGUUUCGGUGUUUAAACGUAACAAGUGUAAUGAUACCUGUGAAUUUGAGGUGUCAUUUCACCCCAUGAUUAUUAUACAUUUUACUAUGGAAGCCCUUAACCUAGUUGCGUACAGACUAUCAGCCAGGCGACAUUCAACCUUGACGAAAUCAGACUUUUAAACUCGGUUCAAACUACUCAUUAGCAACGUCAAGCGUGAGUGGAACAAUGAUGUCCCCAGAAAGAAUUACCGUAGUCCUUAUGACAAAUGCCACAUGAACAAUAAAGAUCAAGCCAUUUAUAAUUGCUAAAGCGCACCGACCACAGUGUUUUUCUAAGAAGUAAAACCACAGAGACAUGUGUCCGCUACCGACACAAUGCCAAGCCAUGGAUGACAGUGGAGCUUUUCACAGUCUAGUUGAAGGACUUUGAUUGACAGAUGCGGUUUAUUGCAAAAACGGUUGUUCUAUGUGUUAACAAUAAUGCAAGCCAUACCCAAAGCAAUCAUUAAUUACACAAUGUGAGGUUGCACUUCCUCCCACCAAACAGUAUCACGCAUGUUCAAAUCACGGAUACAGGAAUAAUCAGAGCAUUUAAGAUUCACAACAGGACACAACUGGUCGCCCACUACAUCAAUUGUGCUCAAAGGAAUAAAAGUCAGGUAACUUUCGUGAAGUCCUUCAUAUGGUGAAGACAACAUGGAAAAGAGUUUCAUCAUCUACAAUUCCCAACUGCUACAAACAUGUGAACAUUCUUUCCCUGCUGACGAGCUUAGUGAGAACGACAACGUGCAACUCUCCAAUCUGCAACACCGAAUUACUGAGGAUGAUGAAAUUCCAUUUUUCCAGCUUCAACGACAAAUGGUCGUUAUAACUAUUUAGUUUGCCAAUACAACAUAUCAUUGGGUCAAAUGCUGUCCGACGUGUUUCAUACCGAUUGUUAGGCCGUUCUUGGCACACUGAUUUUGACUAUGGAUAACUGCGUUUACCUGAUCAAGAUGUAGGGCUCACGGCGGGUGUGACUGGUCGACAGGGAAUGCUUACUCCUCCUAGAUCUCACCUCUGGUAUAUACAGGGGUCUGUGUUUGCCCAACUCUAUAUUUCGUAUUGCUUAUAGGAGUUACUAGAUUAUCACUGUUCAUUAUAUUCACCUUUCAUGAAAGCGCUACCUGAACCAACCACCAUAAGAGCUGACGAUUAUCUGAACAUCGAUGCAAAUGAAGAAACUGAACACCAGCUCACCGAUGACGAUAUUAUGCUGUUAAGGUCAAGGGUAGAAAUGUCUGACUAUGAUGACGAUCACGAUGAAGAAGUGAGUGACAUCACCACGAAAGAAGCAACAGACAGCAUCACCACACUCAUUAGUAAUUUCGAGCGGAAACAGCAGCAACAGAAAAUGAUAUGACAAACAGGAAAUCAACGUUGGACAAUUGAUACUGUUUCGACCGACUGCCAAACCCGGAAAUUACACCAAAUUAAGUUGACCGAAGUAAAGGUGUGACGAAAUGUAAAUGGUAAAUGAUUGUGUUAGCACGUAAUAUCUAAUUUAUUUUUUAGUUACAUAUAGUGGUUCAUUAUUUGUUUUAGUGCAUACGGUACACAGUUUUAUACAUUUGUUUUAGUGCUACUAUACAUGUACAAUAUAAGCAUAUGCAAAUAAUCUGUUCUUGUACAUUUCAAUUCUAGUGCUUUGAAAUGCAUGUAAAUGUCAACAUUAUGAUUUAUUUGAUAAAGCAAAUGGUUAAUGUGUUUGAUUCACUACGCAUAAAUAAAGUAAGCAUAUUGGUUACUUAUGUAAAGAUAGAAAAUAUGAUUAUAUAUACUUCAUUAAUCCUUACGCUUCGUUCAUCCGGACGAUUUUCAUGUGAACCAAAGUGUCCCGAUUAUCGAGGCGCCAUUGCACUGUCAUGUUGAUAUGUUGCCAAUUUUUAAGAGUUAUCUACCCUUUGUAUUGUUUAAUGUUGGCUAAUGUUAAUUUGGGAAGACCAUUGUCAGUUGCAACUAUGAAAUUCUAUGAUUGGAGUAUAAAUUUAAUUUUAAUCCAAUAACCUAAUCUUAAUGUACGUUUAACCUUCAUGAUGAUAUUUUGAAGAAAAGGGCACUAUUCAAACCUAAUAUUUCAUUUGAUUUUUAAAAGCUAAGCUCAGUAAUAUGGUUUGAUAAUUUUAAGUAGUCUAUUCUAAUAGUUGCGUAAAAAUAAUUAUUUGCUAGCUCGCCCUUCGAAGAUAUGACUCUUUCAAUACAUAAGUUUUCGUCCUUUUUGCAAAAUUGACAUAUUACAAGUCUGAUUAUGACUUAUGCCAAUUUUGGAAGGCUAUUGUCAAUUGUAACUCUGUAAUUCUACGAUACUGGGGAUAAUACAAUACAACUUAUCAUUGGAUCAAAUGCUGUCUGACGUGUUUCAUACCGAUUGUUAGGCCGUUCUUGGCACACGGAUUUUAACUACGGAUAAUUCCGUUUACCUGAUCAAGAUAUAGGGCUCACGGCGGGUGUGACCGGUAGAAAGAGGAUGCUUACUCCUCCUAGGCACCCUGAUUCCACCUCUGGUAUAUCCAGGGGUCCGUGUUUGCCCAACUCUCUAUUUUGUAUUGCUUCUAGGAGUUAUGAAUAUGAUCACUUUUCGUUAUCUUCACCUUUCAUAAGAGUUCCUUAUUAGCUACCUUGAAUCGAUGUGUCAAUGACCAUAGUCACUAGCCACGCCUAUUGUCUACGUUUACACUACGUCAAUGCCUUGGCUGUAUGAUUAAAAGAAAUCCUCAACUCCAUGAAUAUUCAUCUUCAUUAGUCAACCAAUCGGUGAGGUUCCAUGAUUUUUGUGUGGUGGAAAGCAAAUCAUACGGAGGUCAUUGCGUACUCGUAGGGGAAUAAUCCGGGGAUUGCCGAUUGAGAACAAACUAGACACUUUUUAGGUGUUGUAACUAAUGAACGCUUCUUUGUUGACUUCAACGGUGUAAUAAAUUUACCAUAUAAUAUGCAUAACCACGCCGCUCUUUUUACAUCAAAUUUAGUCUUUCAGAUUUUAACACAUCUACUUUACUCGAAUUUCCUCAUCAAGUUUGAGAAUACGAUUAAGUUUAAUAACACAUGAUUUACAAGCGUAACCAUUGCUGUUAAUGCAAACUU